GCAUAGUAAGCGAUCAAACAUCAAAAAAAAAAAAUAAUAAUAAACAACAAACCAUCUCGCCGUGAUUCAUCAUCAUCUCCUCCGAUUAAUAAUAACAAACAACAAACCAUCUCGCCGUGAUUCAUCAUCUCCUCCGAUUCAACUCUCUCUCUGUCUCUCUCUCUCUCUCUCUCUCUCUCUCUCUUUGACUUCAGAUUUCGAUCUCCGUCCCCAAAUGGAGACUCCACCCGCGGAGGAGCUUCUCAAGAAGAUACGCGAGCUGGAGGAGAGCCAGGAGCAUCUGAAGCGCGAGAUGUCUAGGCUCAAGGUCUCGGCCGCCGAGGUUAAGCAGCAGCAGCAGCAGCGCUCGCAUUCAGUGUCUCCGCAGCGGAGGAGAAACAGUGGCGGCGAAGGAGGUGCUGCCCCGAGGUGGAGGAAGAGCGGGACGGCGUCGUUUCGCCACGCUUCCCCGCUGCGUAAGGAGAGCCGUGGUGGCGGCGGCGGCGAGGAGGGAAGAUCUGGUGGAGGAGGGAAGUUUACGGAGAAACAGUAUUUGAAUAUUUUGCAGUCUAUGGCGCAAGCUGUUCAUGUCUUUGAUCUUAACGGACAAAUCAUCUUUUGGAACGCAAUGGCGGAAAAGCUUUACGGCUUCUCAGCAGCAGAAGCACUCGGGAAAGACCCGAUCGAUAUUCUCGUAGAUGACCAAGACGCCGCGGUUGCACAGAACAUCACUCGCCGCUGCGGCUGCGGAGAGAGCUGGACCGGUGAGUUUCCCGUCAAGAACAAAGCAGGAGACAGGUUUUCGGUAGUGACCACAAUGUCUCCUUUCUACGAUGAUGAUGGCUCUCUUAUUGGGAUCAUAUGCAUCACAAACGACGCGGCUCUCUUUCAAGACCCGAGAGUCUCUCAAGCCAAGACGAGAGGGCAAGAAGAGGGAACAAGCUUUAGCCGAGUUGCAUCUAAGCUUGGUCUUGACUCCAAAGAGGCUGUUGCGUCGAAGCUUGGACUUGACUCUCAGCAGCCUAUACAAGUUGCUAUUAAAUCCAAGAUAUCAGAUUUGGCGUCCAAGGUGGGGAACAAGGUCAGGUCAAAGAUGCAAGCAGGUGAUAAUAGUUCUGCACACCAUGAAGGUGGAAGUGGGGACAGUCAUCAUUCGGACCAAGGCUUCUUCGAAGCUGCUUUGUUUGAACGUAAGGAGGAUGCAGGUGCUAGCACUAGCACAGCGAGGGGAGAUUUUAUCCAGUCUCCUUUCGGUGUGUUCCUACGCAGCGAUGACAAGUCUUCUUCUUCAAAGCCCUUCAGAGAUUCAAGCGAUGAAAACGAGAUUCCUAAGACGCUUGCGUCAAAAGCUGAAGAGUGGAUGGCGAAGAAAGGGUUGUCAUGGCCAUGGAAAGGGAACGAGCAAGAGGGUUUGGAAGGGAGGCGUGGUCAUUCGGUGUGGCCUUGGGUGCAGAACGAACCGCAGAAGGAAGAAGGUCAUCAGAGUAAUAAGGCUGCUAGUAAUGAGGCUGUGGGCGGGUAUUGGUCUUCCCCUGUUAAUGUGAACAGCACGAGCAGUGCUAGCAGCUGUGGAAGUACUAGCAGCAGCGUUAUGAACAAGGUUGAUAUGGAUAGUGACUGCUUGGACUAUGAAAUCUUGUGGGAGGAUUUGACAAUUGGAGAACAGAUUGGGCAAGGUUCAUGUGGAACUGUCUACCACGGUCUAUGGUUUGGAUCUGAUGUGGCUGUAAAGGUGUUCUCCAAACAAGAAUAUUCUGAAGAGAUCAUUACAUCUUUUAGACAAGAGGUGUCGUUGAUGAAAAGACUUAGACAUCCAAAUGUGCUACUGUUUAUGGGAGCUGUGACAUCACCCCAGCGUCUCUGUAUCGUGACAGAGUUCCUUCCACGUGGAAGUCUAUUCCGUUUGCUGCAGAGGAACACAUCAAAACUGGAUUGGAGGCGACGUAUCCAUAUGGCAUCGGACAUUGCUCGUGGCAUGAACUAUCUUCACCAUUGUAGUCCACCCAUCAUUCACCGCGACCUGAAGUCAUCAAAUCUACUGGUUGAUCGAAACUGGACAGUGAAGGUUGCUGACUUUGGUCUCUCGCGUAUUAAGCAUGAGACAUACCUCACUACGAAGACAGGAAGAGGAACGCCUCAAUGGAUGGCACCAGAGGUUCUUCGAAAUGAAGCUGCUGAUGAAAAGUCUGACGUUUACAGCUUCGGAGUAGUACUAUGGGAGCUUGUGACUGAGAAGAUUCCGUGGGAAAAUCUAAAUGCUAUGCAGAAUACUUGCAGGUGAUUGGAGCUGUGGGGUUUAUGAACCAGAGACUCGAAGUCCCAAAGGAUGUUGAUCCUCAGUGGAUUUCUCUUAUGGAAAGCUGCUGGCAUAGUGAACCACAGUGCAGACCGACGUUCCAACAAGUUAUGGAGAAACUAAGAGAGCUUCAAAGGAAAUACACUAUGCAGUUUCAGGCAACCCGUGCUGCAUCCAUAGACAACUCUUCCCUCAAGGAAAAAUAAAACCCUGAGCAGGAUCUGAUUGGCGUUGAAGAAGAAGCUUAGCUACAGAAGAAAGGUGAAUGAAGAGAAAGCAGCAAGAAGAAGCUUUGGUAAGCUGCUAAACUCGAUUGAUAAUCUCUCUCUCAUUACGAGAGGUAAGUUCGUUUCAAAUGUAUCAUGUGCUUGCGAGCUGAGCUAGAGAGGAUAUAUAUAGUUAUGCAUGAGGCAGACCCAGUUCUUUUUCCUUGAAAGAAUUGCUUGUACAGAUGAAAAGAACGAGGAUGAAUCAAAAGAUUUGGAAGUAAAUUUUGUUACAUUUUAUUGGAUUAUGCCUUUGUUAUUGUUCUGUGUUUGUUAUUGUUGUCAAUGAAAACGAGUGUUGUGGAAA